GUUCUGCAACAGAGCUAGAUUCUCCUAUGUGAAGAGAUCUUCAAGUGAGUUGUGUUGAUUGUGUUGUCUGGGAAAGAAUGAGUUAAUUCUGAACUCAUUCAAGUGAAGGUUGGUUUCAUGUCUUAACCCAUUUCUUCAGUUGCUUUGCUGUUUCAUGUGCACGGACACCCACAGAAACGGCACCUCUUCUAAACUUUAUAGUCUGCCUUGUGGGCCCUUGGCUAGGUUCCUCUUGGCUCCAUGAAGGGCCUGGCAUGUCUUGGCUUCUUGCUCUGUCUCUUUUUGUGAACCAGUGUGUCUUUUCUCACAUUUGCGGUUCAGAGGACUCUCAGAUUGGAGCUGGAGUUCUCUUAGGGUUCUUUAAGUCACCUUGAAGUUGAGUUUUCAAGUUUCCUUGUUUGUUUGUUUGUUUGUUUGUUUUGGCUUUUUCCCUCCUAAGAGGAAUCUAAGGGAUUCUAUUUUACUUCACCUCCUUGAGCUUAUUCUUGAGUGAAUAUAGCUUGAUUACUGUUGCCUCUGCAGCCGAAACUGGGAAUUUUAGGUUUGCUCAUGAGCGAGCGCAGGCAGGUCUGGAGGAUUGCUUUUUCAGGCAGGCUCACACCAUUGUGCGCCGUUUGUGCGUAUAUCAUACAUGCUGCAUCGUGCCCUAGACUGGACACCUUGGCUUGCAUGAUUUGUACUACCAGUUGGUUUUCUUACGUUUAAAAAAAUUACCACGAAAUUUCUAUCAUUGUUUUUCUGGUAGACGUCCGAUUGAUCCCAUGAUUUUAGAUUUUUACACCAUUGUAGCAGGCAAUGAUUUUGAGAAGAUGUAAGGCUGACUUUACAUGGACUUUGGGUACAGGGAGAAGGACCUGCUGUCUAAGAAGGUGGUCUUAGUGUAUAAAUCAGAAAGCUUGGUGAAAUUCUUCUCUGUUUCAAAACAAACUUUACCAGUAUGUGAAUACUGUAAAAGCCAUAGUCUUAUAGGUCAUUAUGAUACAUAUUUUAAUACAUUUUGAAAUAAAAAUUGGCAGGUAAAGAUUUUGGAUUUAAAAGGGACCAUCAUAUUUGAAAAGAAAACCUCCUGGAGCCUUGGAGGGCCCCAGUGAUAAGAAUAAUACUGUGGUAUGAGAUAUCCCGAGUCUCAUCCUAACAUGCUCAGUAGUUGGGCAUUCUAGCCCAGUCUACCCUGUAGUGGUCAUAGGUUCUGCCAAGAUCUCUGGGUCCAUGUCCAGUUUGGAGGGUCCAACAUUUCAGUGCUUUUUGAGUUUCUCAUUUUUAUAAAAAGUUAUCUCAUAAGGGAGUCAGUCUUCACGUUGGGGCUUUCCCAGGGAAACUGUCAUCACUGGUAACAAACUGUAACUUUAAAGGGCAUGUUGUUGCUGUUAUUGUUUUGCCUUUUUUUUUUUUUUAAUAUAAGUGUGCUUGGGAACUCCUUACAUUUUAUGCAAUAAACUAUUUUUGG
rnacentral:lncRNA from 1 species